rnacentral:rRNA from 1 species
UACGAAGGGGGCUAGCGUUGCUCGGAAUCACUGGGCGUAAAGGGUGCGUAGGCGGGUUUUUAAGUCAGGGGUGAAAUCCUGGAGCUCAACUCCAGAACUGCCUUUGAUACUGAAGAUCUUGAGUCCGGGAGAGGUGAGUGGAACUGCGAGUGUAGAGGUGAAAUUCGUAGAUAUUCGCAAGAACACCAGUGGCGAAGGCGGCUCACUGGCCCGGUACUGACGCUGAGGCUCGAAAGCGUGGGGAGCAAACAGG